CUGAUUUCAGGUACUCACUUCAGUGCGGCUGCCUUAUACCUUUUGACAGAUCCUCUUCACUUUAAAAAUGGAUGUAGGCAAAGGAUUAACUAAUUUGGAACUGAGCAUGGGCCUUCAGCUUGCUACGUUCCAGCAAUAUAAAGGUUUGGACGACAAGAUGACCAAACAGGCGUUCAUGAAUUUAUGCAAGGAGCAGCUGCCUAGUUUGGCUGAAGACUCUAAACUUGAAGAAGCAUUCAAAUUGGUGGACGUUAACAGCGAUGGGUACGUGUCAUUUUCCGAGUACACCGCUUUGCUCACCACAUUGUGCUGUGCAACGAUGGAAAUCUUCGAGAGCAUGUCAGUGGCAGCAGGGGAGCAGCAGCGAAAAAAAUAAACUGCAAUAAACAUGAAAACACGUUAAAUGGGAAAUAAACAUGGUUUCACCUAACAAUAAUAAAAGUGUUUUUGUUCCAAUUUUGCUUGCUUUUUUGUUAUCAUUCCAAGUAAAAAUUUAGAACAUUACUACAUAGACUUUAAAAAACAUCAUAUAUAAUGUUGUCUUCCAGCACUUCUCAGCAGCAUAAAACUACAAUCCAAAGUUAUAUAAUUAAUUCAAUAAUGCCAACUGGACCUGGAAAAAUUUCCAUGUCUAAAAUCACUAUAUAAUAACCAACUAACUA